rnacentral:rRNA from 1 species
AUUGAACGCUGGCGGCAGGCUUAACACAUGCAAGUCGAACGGUAACAUAAAGAAGCUUGCUUCUUUGAUGACGAGUGGCGGACGGGUGAGUAAUGCUUGGGAAUCUAGCUUAUGGAGGGGGAUAACUACGGGAAACUGUAGCUAAUACCGCGUAGAAUCGAGAGAUGAAAGUGUGGGACCUUCGGGCCACAUGCCAUAGGAUGAGCCCAAGUGGGAUUAGGUAGUUGGUGAGGUAAAGGCUCACCAAGCCGACGAUCUCUAGCUGGUCUGAGAGGAUGACCAGCCACACUGGGACUGAGACACGGCCCAGACUCCUACGGGAGGCAGCAGUGGGGAAUAUUGCGCAAUGGGGGCAACCCUGACGCAGCCAUGCCGCGUGAAUGAAGAAGGCCUUCGGGUUGUAAAGUUCUUUCGGUAGCGAGGAAGGCAUUUAGUUUAAUAGACUAGGUGAUUGACGUUAACUACAGAAGAAGCACCGGCUAACUCCGUGCCAGCAGCCGCGGUAAUACGGAGGGUGCGAGCGUUAAUCGGAAUAACUGGGCGUAAAGGGCACACAGGCGGUGACUUAAGUGAGGUGUGAAAGCCCCGGGCUUAACCUGGGAAUUGCAUUUCAUACUGGGUCGCUAGAGUACUUUAGGGAGGGGUAGAAUUCCACGUGUAGCGGUGAAAUGCGUAGAGAUGUGGAGGAAUACCGAAGGCGAAGGCAGCCCCUUGGGAAUGUACUGACGCUCAUGUGCGAAAGCGUGGGGAGCAAACAGG